GUACCCGGCUGUGGACUCGCCACCGGGGGAGAAGACCAAGAUCUCAAUGCACUACGCCAAAGAGAACGGGGGCGGCGACCGCCAUUUGGAUCUCGACUGUGACAACGACGAGCCCCUAUGUUUCGGCAUGAAGUACCUUGUCUCAACCUUGGAGGGGAAGAUACGAGAUGCGCGGGAGUCGCGAUCCGAGCUCUAGUAGCGUGGUAGGUAUGCCCAGUGCCCACUGCCCAGUGGAGAUUGGAGAAGGAGCUCAAAUUUUGUGUUGUACUAUCUGCAACUGGUGCCCAUCCGGCGAGGUAGUACCGUAAUAGCGUGGUAGUAGCGUGCAGGGUGCUGGAGUAUGUCGAUCUUCAGGUAUCUCUGUAGUAUCUCUUGGAUUGUGUGUGUCGCCUAACAUAAGAGGCGAUCGUGUGAAUCUCUUCCGAGUUCGUUCGUGAAAGAAA